GGAUUCUUAUCUAUGAACAGAAACCUUUCCAAGCCAAAAGGAGAGGCAAUGAGGGGAAGCAGAAGAAAAAAUAUUUACAAAUUAAAAUUCUCUGGAAAAAAGCAGCUAGAAUUUAGAAAGAAGUUCAUCAUCUCCUAUGAGAAAUUACUUUCGGAUGACAUGUUCUUCCCCAGAUUGUGCAUCUAUGUGCUUGAUCCAUCUUUUCUUGUUUAACCCUGAAUUUCCCCCACUUGUAGCCACAUGUGCAAUAUCAAGUCCCUUCCCUACAGGCAGAAACACAGACCUGACCAGCCGCCGUGAUCCUCCUUCAAGUACUCCUCUCCAUCUGAAAGUUGAAGCUCUUAAGCUAGCGUUCUUGCACAGCAGAACUGCACCCCGGUUGCUGAGCUUUGCUAGCCUCAAGACCCUAGCAAACUCCUUCGGCCGCGAAUCCACCACCAAGAAAUCAAUGCCUACUAGCCUCUCCAUAACCUCCUCC
rnacentral:misc_RNA from 1 species